GUUGUAUGGUUAAGUGACUAAGCGUACACGGUGGAUGCCUUGGCAGUCAGAGGCGAUGAAGGACGUAGUAACUUGCGAUAAGCGUAGAUGAGGCAGUAACAGCCACUUGAGUCUACGAUUUCCGAAUGGGGAAACCCACUGGCAUAAGCCAGUAUCAUUGAGUGAAUACAUAGCUCAAUGAAGCGAACCGGGAGAACUGAAACAUCUAAGUACCCCGAGGAAAAGAAAUCAACCGAGAUUCCGAAAGUAGCGGCGAGCGAAAUUGGAUUAGCCCUUAAGCUUUACAUGUGUUAGACGAACGGUCUGGAAAGUCCGACGAUACAGGGUGAUAGUCCCGUAGUUGACGAUGCAUGUUCAGUGAAAUCGAGUAGGGCGGGACACGUGUUAUCCUGUCUGAAUAUGGGGGGACCAUCCUCCAAGGCUAAAUACUCCUGACUGACCGAUAGUGAACCAGUACCGUGAGGGAAAGGCGAAAAGAACCCCUGUGAGGGGAGUGAAAUAGAACCUGAAACCGUGUACGUACAAGCAGUAGGAGCACCUUCGUGGUGUGACUGCGUACCUUUUGUAUAAUGGGUCAGCGACUUAUAUUCAGUGGCAAGGUUAACCAUCUAGGGGAGCCGUAGGGAAACCGAGUCUUAACUGGGCGCCAUAGUCUCUGGAUAUAGACCCGAAACCGAGUGAUCUAGCCAUGGGCAGGUUGAAGGUUGAGUAACAUCAACUGGAGGACCGAACCGACUAAUGUUGAAAAAUUAGCGGAUGACUUGUGGCUAGGGGUGAAAGGCCAAUCAAACUCGGAGAUAGCUGGUUCUCCCCGAAAGCUAUUUAGGUAGCGCCUCGGACGAAUACUACUGGGGGUAGAGCACUGUUAAGGCUAGGGGGUCAUCCCGACUUACCAACCCUUUGCAAACUCCGAAUACCAGUAAGUACUAUCCGGGAGACACACGGCGGGUGCUAACGUCCGUCGUGGAGAGGGAAACAACCCAGACCGCCAGCUAAGGUCCCAAAUUACAGCUAAGUGGGAAACGAUGUGGGAAGGCUUAGACAGCUAGGAUGUUGGCUUAGAAGCAGCCAUCAUUUAAAGAAAGCGUAAUAGCUCACUAGUCGAGUCGGCCUGCGCGGAAGAUGUAACGGGGCUAAGUUGUAAACCGAAGCUGCGGCAAUGUUCUUUGAACAUUGGGUAGGGGAGCGUUCUGUAAGCCGUUGAAGGUGUGUUGUAAAGCAUGCUGGAGGUAUCAGAAGUGCGAAUGCUGACAUGAGUAACGACAAGGGGGGUGAAAAACCUCCCCGCCGGAAGACCAAGGGUUCCUGUCCAACGUUAAUCGGGGCAGGGUAAGUCGACCCCUAAGGCGAGGCCGAAAGGCGUAGUCGAUGGGAAACGGG
rnacentral:rRNA from 1 species